rnacentral:rRNA from 1 species
AUUGAACGCUGGCGGCGUGCCUAACACAUGCAAGUCGAGCGGUAACGCGGGAGCAAUCCUGGCGACGAGCGGCGAACGGGUGAGUAACGCUUCGGAAUCUACCCAGUAGUGGGGAAUAACCAACCGAAAGGUUGGCUAAUGCCGCAUACGACCUGAGGGUGAAAGGGGGGGAUCGCAAGACCUCUCGCUAUUGGAUGAGCCGAAGUCGGAUUAGCUAGUUGGUAGGGUAACGGCCUACCAAGGCGACAAUCCGUAGCUGGUCUGAGAGGACGACCAGCCACACUGGGACUGAGACACGGCCCAGACUCCUACGGGAGGCAGCAGUGGGGAAUAUUGGACAAUGGGGGCAACCCUGAUCCAGCGACGCCGCGUGUGUGAAGAAGGCCUGCGGGUUGUAAAGCACUUUUAGUGGGGAUGAAAAGCUCAGGGCUAAUACCCUUGAGUCUUGACCUAACCCAAAGAAAAAGCACCGGCUAACUCUGUGCCAGCCGCCGCCGUAAAAC